rnacentral:rRNA from 1 species
ACUCAAAUGAAUAGACGGGGGCCCGCACAAGCGGUGGAGCAUGUGGUUUAAUUCGACGCAACGCGAAGAACCUUACCUGGGCUCGAACGGCUUCAGACCGGUGGUAGAAAUAUCGCCCUUCCCGCAAGGGACUGGAGUCGAGGUGCUGCAUGGCUGUCGUCAGCUCGUGUCGUGAGAUGUUGGGUUAAGUCCCGCAACGAGCGCAACCCUUGUCCUGUGUUGCUAAUCGAAAGAUGCACUCUCAGGAGACCGCCAGCGAUAAGUUGGAGGAAGGUGGGGAUGACGUCAAGUCAUCAUGGCCUUUAUGUCCAGGGCUACACACGUGCUACAAUGGGCGGUACAAAGCGAAGCGAACUCGCGAGAGGAAGCUAAUCGCAAAAAACCGCUCUCAGUUCGGAUUGCAGGCUGCAACUCGCCUGCAUGAAGCUGGAAUCGCUAGUAAUGGCGUAUCAGAAUGACGCCGUGAAUACGUUCCCGGGCCUUGUACACACCGCCCGU